GAUGAAGAACGUAGCGAAAUGCGAUACGUAAUGUGAAUUGCAGAAUUCAGUGAAUCAUCGAGUCUUUGAACGCACAUUGCGCCCCCUGGUAUUCCGGGGGGCAUGCCUGUCCGAGCGUCAUUACAACCCUCAAGCUCAGCUUGGUGUUGGGCCCCGCCGCCCCGGCGGGCCCUAAAGUCAGUGGCGGUGCCGUCCGGCUCCGAGCGUAGUAAUUCUUCUCGCUCUGGAGGUCCGGUCGCGUGCUCGCCAGCAACCCCCAAUUUUUUCAGGUUGACCUCGGAUCAGGUAGGGAUACCCGCUGAACUUAAGCAUAUCAAUAAGCGGAGGA
rnacentral:misc_RNA from 1 species